GACGAACGCUGGCGGCGUGCUUAACACAUGCAAGUCGAACGGAAAGGCCUCUUUCGGGGGGUACUCGAGUGGCGAACGGGUGAGUAACACGUGAGUAACCUGCCCUUGACUUUGGGAUAACUUCAGGAAACUGGGGCUAAUACCGGAUAGGAGCUCCUGCUGCAUGGUGGGGGUUGGAAAGUUUCGGCGGUUGGGGAUGGACUCGCGGCUUAUCAGCUUGUUGGUGGGGUAGUGGCUUACCAAGGCUUUGACGGGUAGCCGGCCUGAGAGGGUGACCGGCCACAUUGGGACUGAGAGACGGCCCAGACUCCUACGGGAGGCAGAAGUGGGGAAUAUUGCACAAUGGGUGGAAGCCUGAUGCAGCAACGCCGUGUGCGGGAUGACGGCCUUCGGGUUGUAAACCGAUUUCGCUCAUGACGAAGCUUUGUGUGACGGUAGUGGGUAAAGAAGCACCGGCUAACUACGUG
rnacentral:rRNA from 1 species